UGCCUGAAUGAGCUUCUACAAAUGCAA
rnacentral:piRNA from 1 species